UACGUAGGGUCCGAGCGUUGUCCGGAGUUACUGGGCGUAAAGCGCGCGCAGGCGGCGGUGUUGGCCCGGCGUGAAAGCCCCCGGCUCAACCGGGGGAGGGUCGUCGGGGACCGCACCGCUUGAGGGCGGUAGGGGCUGGUGGAAUGCCUGGUGUAGUGGUGAAAUGCGUAGAGAUCCGGAGGAACACCAGUGGCGAAGGCGGCUUUCUGGGUCCGCCCCUGACGCUGAGGCGCGAAAAGCGUGGGGGAGCGAAACGGGG
rnacentral:rRNA from 1 species